UGUGGCUCAGUGAGAGUGCUUGCCUAACAUGCAAUAUGGCCUGGGUUCAAUCCCCAGCA
rnacentral:tRNA from 1 species